rnacentral:tRNA from 1 species
UCCGAGUUGGUGCAACGGCUAACAUACCUCGCUCUCAAUAUGACUGCACCGAGGAGAUCCGGGUUCGAUUCCCGGACUCGGAA